UACGGGGGGGUAAGCGUUGUUCGGAAUUACUGGGCGUAAAGGGCUCGUAGGCGGCCAACUAAGUCGGACGUGAAAUCCCUCAGCUUAACUGGGGAACUGCGUCUGAUACUGGAUGGCUUGGAUUUGGGAGAGGGAUGCGGAAUUCCAGGUGUAGCGGUGAAAUGCGUAGAUAUCUGGAGGAACACCGGUGGCGAAGGCGGCAUCCUGGACCAACAUUGACGCUGAGGAGCGAAAGCCAGGGAGCAAACGGG
rnacentral:rRNA from 1 species